rnacentral:lncRNA from 1 species
AACGGGGUUCAUUGUUUGGCAACAAGAGUGACAGUCGGGGUUCAAAUGUGGUGAUCAGGGAUCAUCCGCGCGAAAGAAAAAGUUCUGGGGUUCAAGAAAUGCAAAAAAAAAUCAAUCAAAAAGUUCUGGGGUUCAAGAAAAGUAAAAAGAAAAAAAAUAAAAAAUAAUAAUAAUUCCCAGCGAAGCGUAAAUUGUUCGUCUGUUCUUGGUAUUCAACCACUCUU